rnacentral:rRNA from 1 species
CACGUAGGGUGCGAGCGUUGUCCGGAAUUAUUGGGCGUAAAGAGCUCGUAGGCGGUGUGUCGCGUCGGCCGUGAAAACCUGCAGCUUAACUGUGGGCUUGCGGUCGAUACGGGCAUCACUGGAGUUCGGCAGGGGAGACUGGAAUUCCUGGUGUAGCGGUGAAAUGCGCAGAUAUCAGGAGGAACACCGGUGGGCGAAGGCGGGGUCUCUGGGGCCGAUACUG